UACGUAGGGUGCAAACGUUGCUCGGAAUUAUUGGGCGUAAAGCGCACGUAGGCGGCUUGGUAAGUUGGAUGUGAAAUCCCUCGGCUUAACCAAGGAAGUGCAUCCAAAACUACUGAGCUUGAGUACUAAAGAGGAUCGCGGAAUUCCCGGUGUAGAGGUGAAAUUCGUAGAUAUCGGGAGGAACACCAGUGGCGAAGGCGGCGAUCUGGGUAGAUACUGACGCUGAGGUGCGAAAGCGUGGGGAGCAAACAGG
rnacentral:rRNA from 1 species